rnacentral:rRNA from 1 species
AAUGAACGCUGGCGGCAGGCCUAACACAUGCAAGUCGAGCGGAUCCUUCGGGAUUAGUGGCGGACGGGUGAGUAACGCGUGGGAACAUACCCUUUGGUACGGAAUAGCCUCGGGAAACUGGGAGUAAUACCGUAUGUGGUCGAGAGACGAAAGAUUUAUCGCCAAAGGAUUGGCCCGCGUUGGAUUAGGUAGUUGGUGGGGUAAUGGCCUACCAAGCCGACGAUCCAUAGCUGGUUUGAGAGGAUGAUCAGCCACACUGGGACUGAGACACGGCCCAGACUCCUACGGGAGGCAGCAGUGGGGAAUCUUAGACAAUGGGGGAAACCCUGAUCUAGCCGUGCCGCGUGAUCGAUGAAGGCCUUAGGGUUGUAAAGAUCUUUCAGGUGGGAAGAUAAUGACUGUACCACCAGAAGAAGCCCCGGCUAACUCCGUGCCAGCCGCCGCCGUAAUAC